GGCUGAAACAUACAGGGAUUGAUGGAAUGGCACCACAAGGUGUGGGAUAUGCAG
rnacentral:rRNA from 1 species